rnacentral:rRNA from 1 species
GUAGUCCUACGGGACGCAGCAGUGGGGGAUAUUGCACAAUGGGGGGAACCCUGAUGCAGCGACGCCGCGUGAGCGAAGGAGUGCUUCGGCAUGUAAAGCCCUAUCGGCAGGGAAGAAGCAAGACGGUACCUGACUAAGAAGCCCCGGCUAACUACGUGCCAGCAGCCGCGGUAAUACGUAGGGGGCGAGCGUUAUCCGGAUUCACUGGGGGUAAAGGGAGCGUAGACGGCCAUGCAAGCCAGGGGUGAAAGCCCGGGGCCCAACCCCGGGACUGCCCUUGGAACUGCAUGGCUGGAGUGCGGGGG